rnacentral:misc_RNA from 1 species
AAGUCGUAACAAGGUCUCCGUUGGUGAACCAGCGGAGGGAUCACUACCGAGUUUACAACUCCCAAACCCCUGUGAACAUACCAUUACCGUUGCUUCGGCGGACCACCCCGACCCCUACGGGGCGAAGGGCCCGCCAGAGGACACCUAAAAUUCAAAUGUAUUUUUGCCCUGAAAUUUUUAUUCUGAGUGGAAUUUUUAAAUAAAUCAAAACUUUCAACAACGGAUCUCUUGGCUCUG